UACCUACGGGGCGCAGCAGUGAGGAAUAUUGGUCAAUGGGCGAGAGCCUGAACCAGCCAAGUCGCGUGAGGGAAGACGGUCCUAUGGAUUGUAAACCUCUUUUGUCAGGGAACAAAGGCGGGGACUAGUCCCCGGAUGAGGGUACCUGAAGAAAAAGCAUCGGCUAACUCCGUGCCAGCAGCCGCGGUAAUACGGAGGAUGCGAGCGUUAUCCGGAUUUAUUGGGUUUAAAGGGUGCGCAGGCGGCCUGUUAAGUCAGCGGUAAAAGCCCGGGGCUCAACCCCGGCGAGCCGUUGAAACUGGCGG
rnacentral:rRNA from 1 species